rnacentral:rRNA from 1 species
CUUGGUCAUUUAGAGGAAGUAAAAGUCGUAACAAGGUUUCCGUAGGUGAACCUGCGGAAGGAUCAUUUCUGUUUCUAUAGCUUUGCGUGCGCUGCCUUUACGGGCGUGCGCUGCAGGCGAAAACCUUAUCACACUUGUGUUUUUAUUGAAGACAACUUUGCUUCGGUCGAAUGGCGUAAAAACCUUUGGCCAGAGGAUAUUAAACUCAAACUAAAUUUUUAUUUAACAAUAUGUCAGAAUUUUAAUCUAUUAAUUUAGAUAACUAAUAUUCAAAACUUUCAACAACGGAUCUCUUGGUUCUCGCAUCGAUGAAGAACGCAGCGAAAUGCGAUAAGUAUUGUGAAUUGCAGAUCUUCGUGAAUCAUCGAAUCUUUGAACGCACCUUGCGCCCUCUGGUAUUCCGGAGGGCAUGCCUGUUUGAGUGUCAUGUAGACUCAAUCCUCGGGGUUUCCCGGGAUUGGACUUGGGUGUUGCCUCUGGCUCGCCUUAAAUGCCUUAGCUGUGGAGUGUCAGUGGACGUAAUAAGUUUCGUCCGCAAAGCAUGACUGCGGCUCACAACCCCAUCUUUUGACUUAGACCUCAGAU